rnacentral:misc_RNA from 1 species
CAAAACCCUAAAAACCAGAGCUUUGAGACAUAAUUUCAAUAGCUGUUAUCAUAAACAGACGGAUCAGCAGCUGCCAGCCACGGUGACCCGACUGUCAGUGAAUUGCCCUAACCGGCUCAAUUCACGACCAUAUUUCUUUAACUGAACAGAAAAAUGGACGGAGCCCAAGCGGGGCUGUCACUGAUAAAGCAGUUGGCUUCCUGCGACAACAAAACCCGUAAUAGAUCCCUCGGCGUCCUCCUGAAGAGCUGGCUUCCAUCACAAUCUCAAAUCUCCGAAGACGACAUGAAGAAGCUCUGGAAAGGCCUCUUCUACUGCGUCUGGCAUGCCGAUAAGCUGCCUGCCCAGGCCCACCUCAUCGAUCGUCUCUCUUCCAUUCUUCCUCAGCUCCAUCUCCCUAUAUCUGUUCAGUACUUUUCUGUGUUUUUGCUCACUAUGCGCCGCGAGUGGACUGGUAUUGAUGGUCUCAGGUUAGACAAGUUUUAUCUAUUGAUUCGUAAAUUCAUGCUCUUCUUUUUCCUUCUCCUGAAGAAAAAUUCUUGGGAUUUGGAGCUUUCUACUCGUUUGAUGGGUGUGUUGGUGGAGAGCACCUUUUUGGCCGAUGAUAAUUUACUAGGCAAUGGUGUCAAUUAUCAUAUUGCCUCGGUGUUUCUUGAGGAGCUUAGACCUCUCCUUCCGCUGAGCAAGCAAGUGCUUGAUGUUCUACUGGGACCUUUUGUUUCCGUUAUGGGGAAGGUGUCGGAUAAGAUCCUGUUGGCUAAGAUUAAGAGUAAUGUGUUUGAUUGGCUACUGAAAAUGGGAAAUAGGCUGCUGGAGGUCAAGAAAUCAAAGGUUGAUGUUGAUUCUGGGAAUGAUGUGCUGGUGUUAGGUACAAUAGCCUUGGCUUUCGGAUUUUCUGCUAAAUUUUUUGAAUUGGGUUCUGCAGUUGAGUGCCCUCAGGGGAAUAGGAAAGUUUUAUUCGGUUUGCAUGAGCAGUUUUUAAAGUUAGAAAAGGAUUUUGCAUCUUUUGGGAUUGAUAUUUCUUUACCUGAGGUCAACGAAGACACUGAUGAAGAUGAGGUGCCAACUUUGGUUCCUCUUUCCACUGGAAUGGAAGUGGCUGCUUCUAAUACCGAUGUUGCAAAUAUGUCUGGUAGCAAGCGUCUGAAAAGAUGCAAGAAGGCUAAGAAGGAGUCAAGCAGCAGUAGAAAAAAGGCUAAGAAGCAGAAUAAUUUAAGUUCCGAUUGUGACACCGAAGAGGAUGAUAAUGUGGUUAUGCCAAAUUAUGGCAAUUCAAAUGAGGAAAGCAAUCAUGAUGCGAGUUUGAUAACAUUUAAUAAAUCUGUGAUAUCAAACCUCCAAAUGCAGUUUGAGAAAGUUGCUGCAGAAGUGGGCUUGGAUAAGAACGUUGGAAGUGCCUGUGAUUUUCCUGAAGUCACUGGAAAUGGUAUCGUCUCCAAGAAAAGGAAGAGAGCAAAAAGUACGAAUAAGAAGCAAUCUGAUGAUCCAGAAUUGAGCAGUGAAGUAAAUGCUGAUGGCGGUGCUACUUUAAAGAGUACUGAGAAGAGUGCCAAGAAAGUAAGGUUUUCCCUGAAAAACAACUUAGUGUGGAAGCCUCACAGUCCUUUACCUCCACAAAGUUUGAGAAUACCACCAUCUGUGACCCCUCGGGGAAGUGCCCUUAAGAAAGGGGUACCUCCAGGUCCCAUUAGGGAGAUGCCUGCGGCUAAAAAGGCUAAGCAGAAGGCCAAAUCUGUGAAGAAGGGUCGGAAGCUAAUAAUUGGUAUUGCCCCUGCUAUUAAACGCCUGAAGAAGUUAAAGACUGUUUCUACCUAGAGAGUUAUCGUGAUCCACUCUCUUGCUUUUAUUCAUCUCAUGCUCUUUUCUGUUGGUAACCUGUCUCAACUUUGAACGAUAUUUUUGGUAUUUGAUUUCUUUUGUUGAGUGAAAGACAGAUGAUGCAAACGAUUAAUUGAGUAAAAAAAAAAAAAAAAU